GUAAAGCGAACCCUGAUCCCACUUCUUCCUCCCAAAUCCGCGCCCCCAGAUCCGCCGCCGUGCUGGAGCGCUCCACCCCGCCGCCGGCGUCCGCGGUGCGUGCUCGUGAUCACCCUGCAGCCGGUGAACGCCCCCGACAUCCUCCUCCCGACGCGCUCCUGGUUCCCCCGUCUCCCGCGCCCUCGCCGCUGUCUUCACCUUCUUCCUCCCGCGCCUCCACCUCAUCCGUGGCAAGCAGCGAUCCGCGACCGCAUCCUCCGAUCCCCAUCGGCCUCGCUGAUAUCACGACGGAGGCGGAACACCAGCGUGAUCCCGCGUUCCCCGAAUCGUGAGGUCGGCAAGGCCAAUCGAACCCUAACCCCACUCUCAGAUGGCGCCGACAAGUCCGCAACGGGAGAGGGGAGAGGGGUCGGGGUCCCGAUCGGCGAGGAAGAGUCGGCGGCGGCAGCGCACCCCCACACCGCUCACGUGGACGGAGUCACCGCCGCCGUCGCAGCGGGCCAAGAGGAAAAAGCGCAAAGAUCAUAAACAGGACCAGGAAGGAGCUAGGGCGGCGGUCUCGGGUUCAGAUCUCGCGGAGCAUGAUUCCUCCGGGGCUUCGUCUGCUGUCAGCUCCCCCAUCCGUUGGCCCUUGCUCUGCCGCACCGUCAAAGGGGAAGAUGCCUCCGGCCGGAAGGUCUUCGAACCGUUCAUCAAGAUAAAACAUAGUCUUGUGGAUGCUUAUGAGGAGAUGAAAUUUAAGUACCAUGAGAAAAGAGCUCGUCAAUUGAAGCUAGUUACGCUUCAUCAACAUGUAUCUGUAUCUUGCUUGGUAAAUCAAGAAUUGUUGUCUACCCGCGACUCUGCAACAAAGACAGUGCUAAAAGCAGCUAAAGUUGUUAUGGGGCUAUCGUCAUAUGUUGCAUAUGUAUUUGUAGAUGGCAAACUGAUGACACGAGCCACCGGUUUUUUAUUUGAUUGGGAUAAUGAGAGUAAAGUCGGUACUCUGUUGACGUCUGCGCUCCUAAUCUGCCCAAAGUCUCCCUCCGCGGAUGAGUGGAUGGGUGCAGGUGAAUAUAUUCCUGAAGCUGAGGUUCGUGUACAUUUGUUGGAUAGAGAUGACACGAUGGUAGCUGCGGAGUUGCUACACUAUGACAAGAAUUAUAACCUUGCCCUGUUCAAGGUUGAUAUGAAUUUAUCUGCUGAGGUACUACGUUUUAGAAGUGAGCUGAAAUUUGGGCAGGAAGUCUUUUUGCUUGGAAGAGAUAAGGAUCUAUAUCUGAAUAUUGAUCAUGGCCACGUGCAAUAUGCCGAUUCAAGUCAAUAUGAGCGCCACCACUAUAUGUUUCUCAAUUGUGUGCUUAGAGAGUGUGGAUUAGGAGGACCUGUUAUUGACUUAAACGGAGAAGUUAUGGGGAUGGUUAAUAGUCGACGCACAGGAUUUAUUCCUUCUGCAACUAUACAAAAAUGCAUACAUAUGUGGAAGAAAUUCAAUUGUAUCCCUCGGCUGCAUAUUGGCAUGAAACUUUCGGCGAUCAAAUUUCUGGAUCCUAUUCAGAUAGAGGCAAUCUCUCGGAAGUGUAACAUUGAUGAGGGUUUGAUUGUUCAACAUGUGUCUGAAGGAUCAAGUGCCGAGAGGCAAGGAAUCAGGACUGGUGAUAUCCUUCAAUGUUGGAAUGGAGUGUAUAUUUCUACCACAGUUGAGGAAUUAUGUUUCACUGCAAUUCUUGUUGCUGUUGUCAGUUGGAGAACCACCUAUUGAAAAUAGCCGAGGAGCAUUUGGACAAAGGAAACAAGAGAGAUUCCAAUGUGGAAGUUGAAGUUGCUAUAUUUCAAAUACGCAAUGGUUUGGAUUGCACUAAAAAGCUUGCAGUAAAAGUAUCUGAUGAGAUAGAAGUGGUUCCAAGAGGAACAUAUCCUGUCUUUGCUGGAAUAGAGGAAGGAGGCACUUCACGGUAGAUGGGAUGUUCAUGUUUGCGAUGACUGAAUGGUGGCCUUUUUCUUAGUAUGUGAUGAUCUCUGGGAACACGCGAGGACAAAGGCAAUUACUACUAUGUAAAGGUUUUAUCGUUUGCUUGAAUGGAGAAGAUUGUAGAACAUAGCGUAUCGACAAAUGUCAGCGACGGAGCUGUCCGUGGAGCCGCCGUCGCCGCACCCGCCACCCCGUGCUCCCGUCCCGUCGCCGCGCCCGCCGCCCCGCGUGCCCCUGACGCCGCGCGCCCGCCCUAGUAGACGCCGUCGAAUCCUCGCCAGCCCUGCGUGUGCUGUAGCGCCCUCGCCCGCCGUGCCACGUGCCGCCCUCGGCCUUCAUGCUACGCGCUGGCACGCCCUCGGCCUUCGUGCUACGUGCUGGCACGGCACUGCCUCCGCCUCCUCCGCCCAGCGCCGCGUCGCCUGCUGCUCGUCGUCGCCAGCCGUCACAUGCUCUCCCCUACCUCAUGUGAAAAGGGUUUAUUUUCUUGCAUUUCUACAAAUCGAUUGCCAUGUACAUGUUCUAUUUCUAUUGCAUGGCACUGGCUUCGUUGUGUUGCAUUUGAUUUGCGCACUCUGAAUUGGUUGUGCAUUGAAUCACCUGGAAUGUAGUUUCUACUUUCCUGAUGUGUUUAUUGGAGGAACUGUGAUUUGCCUAAAGCGGAUGGAAGCAUAAUUUGUCAUUUUGCGAAUUACUUGUAGUUCACCGGGCUGGGAACCACAUUGCAAACGCCGCUAUGAAAAUGCUUUUGUGCUGCGUAGCAGGUUAAAUUAUGUUUGAACUUUAUUCUGGAGAAUGGAGGUUGGAAACAGCAAAGGAAAACAGCUAACGUGGUAAAAAGAUUGAUAAGUUGCAAAGCCAGUUCAGGGACGUAGUGGUUACUAUCCGCCGGACCAAGAAAAGUGAUUCUCCGUGUAGCAAAGUUGGUACAUGUCAAAUGUUUCCUUUCAGAAUUUAAACCAUUUGAACAUGCAUUAUAGUUUGUAUCCACCGCUGACACAUUGUGAGGAAUGUACAGGGCAACCGCAAGUGCAGAUGAUAGUUGAAGAUGAGCGUGAGGAGCCUGACGAUUGUAACUACCAUCAAGAGCCGAACGGUAUCCGUGUGUUGAAGCCCAAGGACUACGAGCAUUGUGAUCCUCUUCUUCUAAAUGACUUUCUCAAGAUACACGAAGAAAUUGAGGACAUGUCACAUGAGCGACUUUGUGAUGAUCUAGUAGAUCAUAUGUGGGCAAGAUAUAGUGCUAUGUAGUUCUCAUGUAAUUUAUUCAUGUUAUAUUUAAUGUGUGAAAAUCAGAAUUCA